rnacentral:lncRNA from 1 species
GUAAAACAAGUAUAUUAUAGUAGGUUAGAAACUCAUUUUUUGGAAAUAUGAUUAUCGACUAGACAUAACUCUUUCUUUAUCUACACCAUUAAGUUUCAUGAGUCCGACCAUAAACUUUUGCCUAUAAAUAUCGAAUUUAGAUUGACUUAAGUUUAGAUUGACUUAAGUGUUUAACUGUUAAGUGGAUGGAGGUUUUCCUUCCCAACCCACUCAACCCAUUGCCAUCUUAUUUUUUUUCCCCUCUCACUUCUAUAUUUCCUAACCCACAACAUAUGAAAAUCAUAUCUUUUCCACCACUCAACCCACUUGUCAUAUCAUUUUUUUAUUUAAUUAAAUUAAAAAAUAUAAAUAAAAUAAAAUAUAACAUUUUUUAUUCAAAAAUAAAAGUUUGCUAAUUUNNNNNNNNNNNNNNNNNNNNNNNNNNNNNNNNUUGGAGGCCCCAACUUGUCGAGUGGAGGCAAAACUUGGACGCGGGUGGAAGAAUCUACUCGCCGAGUCAGAAGCCCCUACUCGACGAGUAGACUUGUCUGGAUGAAACCCUAAAUUUAAAGGUUUGCACCAUAUUUAAACACAUUCAGUGGCAUCCACUCCAGCCUCCAUCACCCUCAGACCCCAUUCUCGAAACCCUAAUCAGUUAUGAGUGUUCUUGAGCUAUUUUGGUGCCAUUUUUGUGAUUUGAAGCUUGGACAAGGAAGGAAAGGCUUGGAGGUUCAAGAAGAAGGCAAUAGAUCCCAGAGUCUUGGUUGCAUUUCCAGCUUGUUUGAGGUAAAAAAAGCUUCAACCUUGACUUCCCAUUUGUUAGAUCUUCUUUAGGGCUUGAAUCUUGUCAUUUUUGGGGAAUUUCUAAGUCACCUUCAGGUUUAGAGCAUAAUGUAUAGUGUUGACUUCAGAUCUUGAACCUUGGAGGGUUCUCAUGGCAUAAAGGUGCCAACUUUAUUGCUAUAAGAGUCCCAUGCACCAUAUAAACCUCUUUUUAAGACCAUUUGAGCCAAAUACCCCAUGCAUGAACGUCAAGUUUGUAACUUUACGUGUAAUAUAGACCCUAAGAGGUCAGAUCUAUGUUUUGAAUGCAUUAAGCCCGAAUGAAGUCGACUGAAUUGUUUUGGACAUGGAGGGACUCGACGAGUCACUCAUUUGACUCGGCGAGUCAGGUUGCAGUUUCCCCCAAACCUCUUCUGAUAAUGGGCAAUGUGUUAAGCUGGAAGAACACUCAGCCAGUUAGGUUCAUUAUGGGCCUGAAGAUCAUGGAACUCAGUGAGUUCAAGACUAAGUUCCAACUACAUGAAAAAGAACUCGCCAAGUCCAGGACUAGACGUGCCUUCUUACAUGAAGAAGGACUCGACGAGUUUAAAGAUGAACUCGACGAGUCAGUUGUAGAAAGUCCCGACUUUGUAUGAAGGAGAACUCAGCAAGUUCUUAAAAGACUUGGCGAGUAGGGUUGAAGCUCUUAGUGUUCUGAGGAUUAUGGAACUCAGCAAGUUGGUGGGUCCACUCGGCGAGUUGAGUCUACCAGAUGUUGACUUUGACCUAGAGUUGACUUUGACCAAGGUGUUGACCUUGACUUUGACUUUGAUAUGAGUUGACCAUGAAAUGGUAAUUAAGGAAGAUUGUUAUGUGUAGGAAUCGAGAGGAGUUGAUCCCGGCAACGAGGACAGUUUAGACACUUUACGACACUGAGGUGAGUUACCUUCCAGUAGAAGUGGGUCUAAGGCACCAAGGUCGGCCCACUAGUAAGAGAUUAUAUUAGAGAUGAUUGUCUUUGUGAUAAUUAUUUGGUAUGUUGCUAUAUGUUAUGAUUAUGUUCUAGGAUGCUAAAUGUGUUAGUAAUAUUAGGGGCAGAACAGUCCCCAGUUACAAUUUGGAAGAUACCGAAGGGGUAGAAAGCACUCAUGCAUGCCUAGAUAUAUGUUCAUGAUAUGUUAUUAUGUGGUAGUGGUAGGGGUGAAAUAGUCCUCACUUGCUGGUUGAAAGAUACCGAAGGGGAGGUUAGCUCCCGACUACCGGUUGAAAGAUACCGAAUGAGAGGUUAGCUCAUAGCUACCAGUUGUAAGAUACCGAAGGGGAGGUUAGCUCCUGGUUACCGGUUGUAAGAUACUGAAGGGGAGACCAGUUCCUAGUUAUGUCAGUUAGAUACCGGUUGAAAGAUACCGAUGGACAGACCUUAUGUGGUAUGAUGGGGGAACUCACUAAGCUUCGUGCUUAUAGUUUUCAGUUUUGUUUCAGGUACCUCUCAGCGAAGGGGAAGAAGCUGGCGUGGUAGCUGCACAUCACACACCCACACACAGGAUUUCCACACCAUGACAUUCUUGGGAUUGUACUCUGAUGUUAUUAUUGUUUUCAUGAUAUAACUUUGAGACAUGUGACUGUGGUUUUGAUGAAAUGAUAUGACUUGAUGAUAUUUUCUUAUAAAUGGUUUUCUAAAUUGUUGUACUAAAAUUAAAUUUUUGGUCUUCAAAAUUUGGGAUGUUAUAAUAUAUAUAUAUAUAUAUAUAUAUAUANNNNNNNNNNNNNNNNNNNNNNNNNNNNNNNNNNNNNNNNNNNNNNNGAAUGAAUGAUAAAGAAAAGGUGAAACAAUGAAAUAUUUAACAUGGGAAUUAACACGGCUUCGUGAACCCGUUGAUAAGCAUUAAAACAAGAAACUCACUGAACCCGCUUUUGAAGGGAACAUAAAUCGGCGAUACUGACCAGUAGCUCACUACACCGUUGGCAACCCAAACAACGACUUCGUCCGCCCUUAGAGCAGAGUCUUGGAGAUCUAUCACAAGGUUUGUCUAACAGUUCGUGGUGGCGUUGUCAUAUACGAUAACAUCAAUUAUUAUGAUGGUUUGAGAUGUUUCCGUAAAGUUUUAAUUUGGAUGUUAUUUCCAAAUGUUCAAGGGUGUUAUAUAUAAGCUAAAAAGUAUACCAGAUUACAAAUAAGUUCGAUCAUUAACCAAGAUGUCUUUACCCUAACGGUAAGAUGAGAUGUCCUCUUUCAAUUAAAUUCAAGAUUUAAGUUCCAUCCAGAACAUUUGUGAAAUUCAAGAGUAGUUAAAUCAAAAUUCAAAAUAUAAUGAAAUUCAAAAAACUAAUAAUCCAAUCCAAUAACACAAAUCCAUGAAACCAUAUAUAGUGAGAGUCAAAAAAACACUAGUCGAAAUAUACAAUAUGCGUGUAAAAGAAAAAAAAAAAAUCAUCCACGCGUAUUUAUUACUCAUUGUGUUAAAUCACUAACAUUUUUUUUUCAAUUUUACCGCAUACAUACAUAAGUCUUACACGUAGUGCCGCAGCCCGUAAGGGUCUUAACUGGGCCUAGAAGAAAUGAGCUUUUCGGGUUGUUUGGCAGAUUCAUGUCAAGGUCCGUUUAUGCAUCUCUAAAUGGACUCUUUAAACAUAUCAAGAAUCAUCAACAUCCGUCCAUUCAACCAUUCUGUAGCUGUACAUUCAUAUCUAAUAUCUUACUACUUUUUAUAAGAAAGAAAACUAAAAUCAUCAUCAGACAUUUUGAUCUUUGAAACUGUCAGAAACUCUAAAAAAUUCAAACUUUUGAAACGCUUUCUCUUCAAAACUCAUUCAAGAAUCAUGGCAUGUGAUGGAUCGUUUUCAAAGGCUUUACCUUUUUGGAACGAACAGCCUGGCGAAUCUGGCGUUCAUGCCUCUCCAAAAGUUCAUCAAUUUGAUGGGAUUGAGAUAACAAAGGACCCGAAUACUCAACUUUGUCUUCUUGAUUCUGAUAAAUCUGUAUCCAAAACUUCAAAACUUCAACACCAAAGAAUCAAUCGAAAACCUUCAUGGGAUUCGCUAAAUUCAAAAUAAAAACCAACUUACCAAAUCGAUUUUCUUAAAAAUAGGUAAAUCUUGAGAGGGGUAACCAUCAAAUCGGCCUCUAGAACUGAUUCUUUCAAUCUUUUCUGAAAAAAUUGGUUCUCUUGGAUGUAAUGUUGAAUGUUCUGAUAUGCGACUUUUUGAACUCGAUCUACUGUGUGAUCUUAUAGACGAAGGAUCAUCAAGUCGCCUUCUUGCCCAUGCAAAACCACUUGAACCUGAAACUUGUAAAGGACCCGAAAAUGGAAUCUCUUCAUGGGACCCACGGUUUAUUUUGUUUACACGUGGCUCAAAACCUAUGAUUAUGUCACUUUCUUUAUCAUGAUCUAAACUAAUUCCAUUAAUUUUGUGCCUUACUUCGGUUCUGAUUGGCAAAUUCUGUACAACAAGUCGUUCAAAUAUUAGAAAGUAGACACGCAUACGCAUGAUCAUGUUUAUAUAAUACAUUUAUAUAACAUAUAUAUGUAUAUAUAUAUAUAUACCUCCUCAGGCAUCAAUUUACACAUGCCAUUAGGGUAAUUCCUAUUGAAUCUUCGUGAUGUUUCAGGCUCUCGAUUUCUUUCAACAUGCCUCUUCCUGUAAAAGACAUGAAAAAUCCUCAUAAGGUAACAUCCAUAUUUUUUUUAUUGAUAUUGUAGAAAAAAUACUAUUCACAUUUACCUUCUAGAGUGUUCCCGAUGCUUUGUAUCAAUUUCUUUAGUUGGAGGGUAUUUUGGUAAGCUCGAUGGUUGACAUGCAUAAGGCUUUGUAGUAAAAUACUGUUAAUACCAUAUCAAAGAGUAAGCUUCCAAAAUGUGAGGACUUUGAUUUUUUGUUAUUUCAGCAUUCUAUACUCAUGUUAUUUCAUAUGUGAUGUGAAUAAGUUACCUCAGAUUCAAGGGCAGAAGAGGCGGACCCACGCUUAUAGGGUUCAAUGGAUAACAAAGUCUCUAUAAGAUUUACAGUGUUUUUUGGUAGAUCUUUAAAAGUUUCCCAUAAACAGCUUUUGUAUGGACGUUGUGGUUUAAACAGUGUGGCAUGUGGAAGCUUUGACUUUUUCCAAUAAUCUUCACAUGGUGAUCCACAAAGCUUAAAGAUUUUGUGCAUUUGUUCAACCUGAAGUUACACCACAAAGAAAAUGAUUCCAAGACUUUUCCAUUUUUGUUUCAAGAAACUCUAACUUUGACUUUUGAAAGUCAAGUAUGUAGUAUUUUUACCUCAGUUCUACCUUGAAGAAGAGGUACACCAAGAAGAAGCUCUGCAAACACACACCCUAUACUCCAUAGAUCCACUGAAGCUUCAUAAUCCGUGGACCCCAAUAAAAGUUCAGGAGGCCGAUACCAUAAAGUAACAACUUUACUAGUCAAAGGUCGUUUAUCUUGAGCUAAAUUACAAAAAUUAGCCAACCCAAAAUCACCUAUUUUUAUAAUUCCUUCAUUAUUUACCAAAAGAUUCGCCCCUUUAAUGUCACGAUGCAUUAUUCCUUGUGAAUGACAAUGCUUCAGCCCCGAUAACAAUUGCUUCAUGUAGCACUUUAUCUGUUUCAUCCAAAUCUCAAACUAUAACAAAAAAAAAACAAAAAAAACAAAUUGCAUGUAAUAGCAACGUGCUUUACUCUUCUUAUCAAUAUAGCAACAAGAUAAAGUAUGUUGCUAUUGCAUGUAAUUUUUGACAAUAAUAAAGAUACGAACUUUGCAUGUUACAAACCUGGGAUUCUGUGAAUUUGAUUUUGGGGGAAGAUAAAAGUCCUGAAAUAUCGUGUUCCAUGUACUCAAAGACAAGGUAUAUGCUACAUGAUAACUGUGAGGUUAUUAUCCCAUCUAGUUUCAUGAUAUUUGGAUGAUCAAGUCUUCUAAGAAUCACUAUUUCACGAGCCAUAAAUCGAACACUUUCGGGUUCAAAAUUGUCGAAUCUCACCUUCUUUAGGGCAACUAUCUUUCCCGAUUCUAGAUCACGAGCACGAAAAACACUGCUGUAUGUACCUUGCCCGAUCUAUUGAAACAAUAACGAGAUAUGAAGAACAUCAAUGAUUCGUUGAAGAAGUUAUAAUGAAAACAUACAGUGAAUAAUCUGUUUGUUUGUGUAAAAUGGUGAGGUAAAGUGAUGAACCUUUUCUAAUUUUUCAAAGGAUUCGGCUUUGAGAGGCAACCAACCAUGAAUGGCUUCACCGGCGACUGCAGUGAGCCACGCCGGCCAACCAGCAGCCACCUGCUCUACUUCAACGUAUCUAUGUAAAUUACCCAACCUAAAGCUCACCGACUCACCGCCGCCGAUGGUGAAAUUCGUCCUCCCUGAUUCACCCAACUCGCUCCCAUUCAGCCCUGACUCACUCCUUGUAUUCCCUUUCUUCUUCCUCCGUUUCUUGGUCUCUAAUUGCGCCACCACAUCAUCGCCAUUCCCAUCAAAAUUCCGUCCAGAACCACCCACCGCAUUGUCCCGAAACCCCCCAGAAUGAUCCACCGCCGGCGUCACUGGCACUGUCUGUUUUGAUGUUACACAGCCCAUUUGUCACAGUGCUUCAAGAAACUCUGUAUCCAUGACAAAUAUUUGAGCCGAAAGAAAAUACAAAUCAAACCCAGAUCAAGAAUUAGGACGAUCUUGUUUGAUUCGCAAUCUGGUUUGUAAAGACGACGGAAAAUUCUUCUGAAGUAACUUUUUCUCUUUCUCUUUAUAGAAAUCUACCCCAAAAUUGCAGAAAAUAAGCAAGGGACCGGAUCAAGUAACGAACACAGACAUCCAGUUGCACUACUUUUCAGUGGUCUAAAGACACUAAAUUUAUUGGCCAUUUUCAAAGAUGGCUUGUAUAAAUAUUAGUGAAAAUUUUAUAUAAUUUGACAUUAUUUUCAUUUUCAUUAUGUUGUAGACUUGUGCAAUUUUUUAUGAUAUAUUUUUAUUAGAUCAUUUUUAUAAUAAAUAAUAUUGAUUUUGUGUAACAUUUAUCAGCAGACAUUUUUUUUUGUUUUUAACUAUCUUCCUAGUUUUUAUUAUACAAAACUUUCAAUCCAUAAACUUAUGUUAUAAUGUUGAGAUCAAACUCCAUAACCAAUACUCAUGUCAUCAUAAAAAUGGAAAACUCAUGUCAUCAUAAAAGUGAAAAUCCCAUGUCAUCAUAUGGUUUGCUAGAUGUGGUUACUUGUUUUUUUUUUCUUUGUUCAUCAUAUAUAAAGUAGGGUAAAGGAAAAGGGCUAAAGCGGAAACUUAGUGUGGUAAGCUUUCACUUUUCUCACAUUGGUCAAUGAAAAUCAAUAUCUUUUACAUUUUGACCCCACAAGUUAUGAUAAAUAUUAUCCAAAGCACUAAAUACAUCAUAAAAAGCUUCACAUGAUAAUUGAUGUUUCUACCGACGGGUGUCCACAUUUUAAAUGGAUGGCUAAAAUAAAGCAUUUUAUUGCUACUUUUCAAUAUAUAUGAUUAUACACAUCUCAACUGGGUUUGCUUCUAUUUUUGUGCCAUUUACGUUAGCAUAUAUUUUAGUAACAAAAACUCAACAUAAAUUCAAAAUAUAAUAUAUGAAUAACCUUUUUUUUGAAAUUUUACAAUGGAUUCUUGGUAAAACAAAGUAUGAAAUAAAAAUGAAAGGGAUUACAAAAAAAAAAAGGGUAUAACAACACAUAGUGCAAAUACAACUUAUGCUUGUUUAUAUGUUAGUAUAUCGAUCCAUUGUGACACUAACUUGCAGCCGGUUGUCAUCCUUAUAUCAUAAGUAUAAAAUAAAUUGAUUGAAAUAAUAUAAAAUUAAGCAAGAAAAUUUUUAUAUAAACAUGUUAUAUAUUCCUCAAUAAAAAAAUAAAAGUUUUUUACAUGUNNNNNNNNNNNNNNNNNNNNNNNNNNNNNNNNNNNNNNNNNNNNNNNNNNNNNNNNNNNNNNNNNNNNNNNNNNNNNNNNACAUAAGAAAUUAUCUUCAAUGGCGAAAAACAACAAGUGGCACCAGAAGAAAAAAAAUUGCUGCAUAUGCCUGAAAAAAAGAGCUGCAUUCGUCUAGAAAUGGGUUGCAUAAUGUCCUAGAGCUUAAUAUGUAAUAUAGAAAAUAACACUUUAUUGAAUGUAUAAUGGAAGAUCUACUUUAUAAAAUAUUUCCAAUUAUAUUAAAAAUAAGUUAUGAUAAAAAAAAUGUUUUAAAAGCCAUUUUUUGUAUUUUAUAAAAUUAUAAGUAAAAAAAAUAAAAAAUAAAAAAAACCUAAGAGGUGAACUUUAUUCUCCAAAUAAAUGCUUUAUUAUAUAUAUUAACUUAUGAUAUUUUAUAAUUUUCAUAAAAAAAAGUUGGUUAAAGGACCGUAUUUUAUUUUAUAAAAAAUUGGUUUAGACAUACUUCAAAGUGGCCAUGUUAUACUUCUAAUGACUUUUUUUUUUUUGAAAGGUAGGGUUAAUAUUUUCCUAGGCUUGAACCUAGUACCUCAUGGUUAGAAGCUUCAAAUUAGACAUUUUGUUAACCAAGUGAACUAACCCCAACUUAUGCUUCUAAGACCAUCUUUAAUGGUAGUUUAAUGGGGAGUUUAAUCCCAUUAAACUCAAAAUUCUCAUUGUAGGUUAAUGACAUGGCACUCAAUAGAAUGGGGAGUUCAAUCCCCAUUGAACUCCACACUCUCUCUCCUCUCACACACAUAUAAAUGAUGUGGCAAUCCAUUAAAUUGUAUUGGGUUUAAUGGAGUGUAGAGUUUAAUAGGUAAAAUUGUAUUGUAAGUGGAAUGUACAUGUGGCAAUCCAUUGAACUCAUUUGAGUUCAAUGCAUUGAAGAUGGCCUAAUGACUAAUUGGUAUGUACUAUUACCACUUAGACAUAAUGGCAUUCUAAUAUUACAUGUAUAACAAUCAUAAAUGGCUUGAGAGGGAUCUUAGUUAGAGGAUCUGUGACUUCAGUGGGGAUUUUAUAAAUCUUAACAUCAUCUGUGUCAACAAUAACACAUGAGAUAAUAUUUCAUGAAAGUUUGCAUGAAUGUUGUCACAAAGAAUUUGAAUUGGACUUUAGUUACUGAUUGUGACUCUAUCGAUCCACAAUAAACUUCUUGAUCCAAACAACUUCCUUCGACGCAUCACAUGUUGCUUGGGACUUGAAGUAAUCAUAGUCAAUAUUUGAUGUUAAUGUUGUGUAACACAAUUCCUCAUUAAGGCCUUUUUUUGCUAAAAAUGUAUCUUUAGCACUUCAUAAGUAUUUCAUGAGUGUGGUAUUACAUGUUUUUAUCCGUGAAUUAUGCAAAUCUUCCAUCAUUUUGAUAUGAUUUUUACAACUUCAUUGAUAUAAAAGAGGACCUUGCCUGGGACUUAAAGUCGCCAUAGUCAAUUUGGAAGUUCAUGUUGUGUGACACGUCCUCAUCGAGACCAUUAUUUACUAAAAAUGUGUCUUUAGCACUUCAUAAGUACUUAGUGUGUUAGGUAUUAUAAGUUUUUAUCCUUGAAUUACAUAACUAGAAUGGAAUCAGUGCGCCUUUGGCGCUGUGGUUUUGGAAUUAAACUGCAUCACAGUUACGUAAGACUUAGACAUAGCAACAAAAUAUUUACAACAUCAGAUUUCUUGCAAAAGGACAGUUACAUACCAACAUAAUAUUCAUAGCAAAAGAUUACUUCCUUAAGGGUUGCAUAGGUACAUAUUGUUUAUUUAUAGUAGAACAUCACUAAAUAGAUAAACAUAUUACUUAUAAGGAUGUUUGUCUUCAGGGAGUUUCUUGAUUUGUUGUUUGAGAUUGUUGAUAAGGACGUCAUAUUUUUCCUGCAUUUCAUGAAUGGUGUUGGUCAUUUUUGAUGUCUCGUAGUGGUUGUCAAGCAACACAUGUUACGUAGUGUUUGAACAUCAACGUCGUCACCGUGAUUUGUUAUGUAUAGUCGGAUAUUUUUGUCAAUUGUGAAACUUUCUUCUAACCUCGAUUGAGUUGCUUCAAGUAUGUCUGCAAUUUCUCUAAGGAAGUCGAUCAUAAUCAUCAAAGUGUUAUUGAAAUAUGUACUAUUCAUUUUGAUAUUUAUGAUGCGAUGUGGUUUAAAUUUAGUUUUCAAAGUUACAAUUUAUAUGUGUGGUAUAUUGUCAUUUUGUGCAUGUAGAUAAUGUAAGUUAUAGUUAUAGACAUCCAUGUGUGAUGUUUUCCUGUUUGUAGCAUUGCUUAUUGAUUAAUUGCAAAGUAAUCGAGAAUAGUACGUGGCUUGUUAUGCAGUGGGUUGGUAACAAAUGUUAUAGUAGGUUACAGUUGAAGAUUAUUAUUAUAUGAUGACAACUUUAAGUAAGUAAAAAACAAUAAUAGUAAAUAAAAUUUAUAAAAACUUAUAAACGUGUGUGUGGUUAGUUACAUAGAAAAAUUUAGUUGGAAUAUUACUUUCAUGUUUUCUAAUAAUAUUUUUUUAUUUAGGUCAUAUUAAUUUAGUUUAUAUGAAUAUGUAAAAAAAAUUUAACUGACUCUUACUGUGAUGUUGUAUAAAUAUAUAUUUUUGCUUUACUUAAAAUCAAUUACGUUUUUUUUUUAUUAUUUUAUAGAAAAGGUGAACAGUAAGCUGUUAUAGGUUGUAGUUGAUAAGAUAUUAAUAAAGAAAAGAAACAGAAGGCAAGAUAUGUGCCCCAAAAUGAAAAGGCGAAGACUCCCAUGUGCAAUGAAGAAAGAGAAGAAAAUAUAUUGUUCACGAAAGUUUUAAGCUUUUAUGUUAUAUAUAAUUCCACGGGAAGGCAUGAUUGACUUGGGCCACGACCCAUAUCAUCAUUCUAAAGGGGCAGUUGUUUUGGGUCAAAACUAGUUCCUUCCGUUCCAAAAUUAUUGUCAACCUUACUAUUUUAGUUUGUUCCAAAAUUACUGUCCACUACUACCAAAAGUAGAUAUACAUUUUUACCAUAUUACCCCUAACAUUUAAUAAAGUAAACUUCAAUAAUUACAAAUGCACAUUUCCUAUUGUUUUUAGAAAAUGGCAAGAUGAUCAUUUUACUCAAAAAGACAAAACUAAUGAUUUUUUUUCUUAAUCUUUGUAUUUUUUUUCUGUGGACAAUAAUUUUGGGACGGAGGGAGUAUGAAUCUGGACUUGAAAUUUUGUCUUCAAUCUUCACCUGAUCGUAACUCAACGUCGUCACAGCAUGAUGAUCAAAUAUGGGAAAGAUGUCCAAUAUUUGUCUAUUUUUAUAUCUAUGUAUCUUCCAAGUAUUUCUUCAUAGGCAUGCUACUUUAGGACACAAAAAUAUGUCCACAUUAUACUCUGACAUGCUCAAAAUACAUACAACAGCAAGAAAACAGACCUUGAUAUUUUUCAUUAGUAAUCUGAAGAAAUUGGUUUAUUGUCAUAAUCAGAUUUAUAGUAGAAUUUAAUAAAAUGAGGCAUUUUCAUUAUUCUGAAACAUAUGUAAAUGGUAGCAAAACUGGAAUUGAUAUCUUUUCAAUUGUUGAUCUAAUAUUAUCAAGUAAAGCUUUAGAGGUACCUUGAUGAACAAACCAAGUUGAAAAUGAAGGUUGAUGAUGUUGAUUGUUGAAUGCAUAAAAUGAGGAACAAAAAUAUCCACUGUGAAAAGAUGUUAGAUGUUAUGGAAAUUGAGAAUUCAGGCAAAAUAUCAAGCACAAAGUGUGUAUCUGUGAUACAAAUUUGCAGACAAAACUUAUACAAUAAAGACCAACAAUAAUCAUACCAUAAGAUCCGAGUGAAUGGAUUUAUGAAUAUCUUUAGCUCAUUUUUUGUUACUUUGAAAUUGGGACCCACCCACAAAAUAAAAAAAUAAAAAAAGAUGACUGUCUCAAGGCAAGGUACAGACAGGUGUAUGGUCUUUAGGCUUGUACUUGCCAAGCAAUUCAUCGAUGCUUCUGCAACGACAUUGAUUCCCUGGACGAAUUACAUCGCCAUAAACUGCCAUUUCAAUGAUGUCCAACUCCUUUUCUGUAAACCAUAUCAUGUCAUUGUUACUAGAUACAGUCAGUUAACUUUGUAUAAAAUAAGCAUUUUUUCCUUGGAUAUUAUCUCAACACAUUUCAAUUCAUGAUCAAUGUGGGGGGAUGUGAGGGAGAAGAAAUACCAGUGAAGUUGAUAUCACAAGAGUAACCACGCAACUGUGUCUUGUCAAGAUGAUCCUUGUCCGACUUGGUUCUAUUUACCCUCGUUUGAAGAAUCUGACAAUUUUCAACUACCGAUUCACCACCUACAAAAUCAAUCACACAAUUUUAGCUUCUACAAAUUUUGAUGGAUUUUCUUCCACAACUCCCUAAGCAUCAAAGGCUAUGCAUCACAACAGCGGAUCAAUAUUUGAGAAGCUUACAGAGUUAGUUGUAAAGACCUUUCGAGAAGGGGAUGAUGUGAUCGUAUUCAAAGCAGAGACAUCCCUGACAGUUGCCGAAGCGCUUACAGACGACGUUGCCCGCGGCAUCUUUACGCCAUCGCUCCGGGUGUCUUCCAGGGACAAUCUCGGCUUUGGCCCAGCACAGUUUUUUGGUCAUGGAGUCAAAGAAUCUCGGUCUCUCCUCCUUCCCGUUGUUACUAUUAUCGCCACCGCCACGAUGCCGCUGCGGCGAUGAGGGGGCAGGAGAACUAGAGCUCAUGUUGCCUCUCUCCGGCCUCUCCUCUAUGAAAUUGGAGGGGACUGCUGAAAUUGGGAUGGAAGGUGUUCGAAUAAAUGCCCCAAAGAACUCCUUUUCUUUCGAGGGGCAACAAUGCAUCAUUGCAUAAUUAUGCAGCCACGAGUAAAUUACAUUUUCGGUCCUUCAGUAUAGUUUAGUUUUCCAAUUUUGGUUUUUAAAUUCUUAAAAUUUUUACUUUUGGUCCUCAAUUUUAAGAUUUUUGGUCCAUUUUGGUCCUCAUUCGGGGUUUUCUUUUAUGUAAAAGCUUUGUACUUCUCUUGAUAAAACGCAAACUCAAUGUUUCUAUGAUUUGUGCAAAUAUUUAACUUGUAGAUAGAUCAAUUUAUUUGCCAAAGCAUUCAACAUCAAUUACCAAAAAUAAUGGCCUUCAAUUUUAGCAGCUCAAAACGAAAUUGGAACUACAAAUUUAACUAAAAAAAGCCCAAGAAAAUAAACAUUGCUCUCGAAAACACGAGGGAAAUGAAUCGUAAUAAAACCAUCACACAAUAAUUAUUUAAUCAUACUAAAUAUACACAUUCGAAUUGAGUAACAUUUAUUUACUCAAAGUACGAUAUUCUUUUAAUAUAUGACUAGUUUAACCAGAAACUUUAUGUAAAUGUGCACAAGCAUCAAGAAACUUCAAAACCGACUCAACAAGCUCUGCAAAUUUACCACACGCUACAGUAGUAUCCAAAACUAGCUUCGGCACAUCCCCUACAUCAUAAUCGGUGCAUCCGUUAUAACCCUCCAACAACCUUUCCAUAUCCCGCCAUGUGGCGGGCUUAUGCCAACUGCCACCACAACCGUCUUUCCCUCUAUUCUCAAGCCGACGACGCCACUCACUCUCGUCUUUCGGCUUGCACUCAACCACAACAAGCUGAGAGCCGUCAAAAGAAUCGGNNNNNNNNNNNNNNNNNNNNNNNNNNNNNNNNNNNNNNNNNNNNNNNNNNNNNNNNNNNNNNNNNNNNNNNNNNNNNNNNNNNNNNNNNNNNNNNNNNNNNNNNNNNNNNNNNNNUUCAACUAGCCGAUCCAGAUGACUCUUGCGGGAAAGAGGCGAGUCAAUGACAACACUCAGGCCAAGACUGAGUUGGGUCUCGACCAUUCGCCAAAGUACUUGAUAAGAAAGAUCAUUAAGGAGUUUAGAAACAGUGUGUGACUCCACUACUUCUGCUUCGAUAGCAGAAGUGGAGUCACGUAUGUCGUCUUUGUCAAGGAGCGGGCAUCUUAAUGAUGCGGCUAUGAAGCGGGCAAGCGUUGUUUUGCCCGUGCCUGGGUGUCCCUUCAUUGCUACUAUGACUCUUCUCGGUCGACCUUCUUCGUGUUCCAUUGGAGAUUAAUUUAAUUUCUAUUGUUAUAUAGAUUCAGUGUACUAUUUUCCUUUAGCACGAAUAGUUGGGGAUUUUAUAGGGGCGAGGUGAAUGUUACAUGUCCUUUUCCGCUCAUCUCAGAUAGUUUUCUUUAUAGAUAAAAAAUACAUUUAUUUACUUUUUUUUUUUUAAUUCCAUCUUAUUUCCCUAGCUUCGGUGAAUAAAUAUCAGAAUAAUUUCUCGUUUUCUUAAUCUUCGGAUAAGGUGACGAGGUGACAAGAGAAUCUUGACGUUUUGUGAAAGGAGUUUGACAAGUGUUGUUAAUGAUAAGCUUUGCCAGGUCAGAACGAUGGUGACAAAGAUUAAUAUGAAUAUUUACAAAAUUGGUCAUUGAUUUAUAGGAUAUUUUUCACAAUAAACCCACAACUAUCAACUCUAACACCUUGGUCCUCACUAUAUUUGAAGUUCGUAAUGCACUUGGAAGCUAGUCAUCGACGAUUGUAAAAGAAAUUCACAGGAGUUAAAGAACAGAAAUAAGCAAAUAGAGAAAUCAGAACCCGGAUCUAAAGGACUUGAAUUUGGGUUUUUUUCUUUGUGUCAUGUCUUACCGGUGAUUAUGGGUCUGUUUGGGUAUGGCCCUUAUUUUAGAUUUUUCAUAUUGUUAUCAAAUUUUAAUACUAAUAAAUCAAAAGGAUGCAUUUAUAUAGCUUCUAUGUUAUUUAUUGUAAUUUAAAUAUUCAAUAGUUGAGAUAUAACAAGGUAAUACUUUAGCAAUUAUAUAAAAAACAAAAUAAAUAAAUAAAACCAUAGGGGUUUUAUUUAACUUUGCAUCUCUACUUCACGGGUUAGGUUUUUUCUUUGUAUCAGCUGUUGAGUGAAAAGAAACAGUUAUACAAAUUUGAAUGCAUUAAGUCACUUAUCACAUAUGAUAUGCUAAGCUGGUGUUUCUUUGACGUAAUGGGCUAAACUAAAAAAGAAACAGCAGCUAAGCUAGUAUUUCUUUUCUAACNUAUAGGUGUUGCUUAUCUUUAGCUUAACAUAUAAACCAUGUCUUAGUGGGUUAAAUUAAAAAAAUCUGACUUUUUAUGAAUUCAAAAUAAGAAUUUCUAAACCAAAUAAUCCAAAAUAGUAACAUAAGAAUUUCUUUUUCAGACCAAAUAAUCCAAAAUAACAAGAGGAGGUAAAAAUACUUUAUGUUCAUGGUACCCAAACAUAACAGUCAAACAGUAAUACGAAACCCAGGUGGUAGAGUAGAUUGCUACUAUUAUAACAGAAAACAUUCUGCUGAUAAUGCAAGCAACAAGUGUUUAUGGAUUCAUUUAUAGACUUAGUAGAAGUAGAUUACUACUUUGGGCCGAUAUCCUUAAGAGCACAGAUCUGCUCCUCUCCCAUUGCUGACAUCACACUCACCACCAAGUCCUUUCCCUCUGCAAAUCCAUCCUUGAUCUACAAUUCAUCCAUAUAAAAAAAAAAAAAAACACUUCCUUCAAAUCUUCAAAAACAUUUAUAUAUCUAUAUUAAUACAAUCACACAUCAUAACCACAUACCUGAGUCAGGAGAGCAUCAUCAGUUGGGAGCUUGAGGUCAUCUUUAGUGUUUCCAUUUUCAGUCAGCAAACUCACCUAACAGAUUUUCUUUUUUAUCAGUUCCUAUUAUCAUAACUUGAACAAAAAAUACCAAUUAACAAAGCUUGAAUAGAAUGAACCAUACAAAUCCAUCCUCAGAAAUAUCAAUUAGCUGGUAGUCAGUGCGGUUGACAUGAGGAACCUGCAAACAGAUAUUUUAUAAAAAAAAAAAAAGAAGUUAAUUUUAUAAAAGAGACAAAAAGACUGAAAAAAAAAGUGGAUUGAUUACUCACAUCACAGUUAUGGGAUGAGGGAACAAUAUCUUCAAGCUUUUUACCAUUGAAGAUAUCAAUGGCGACAAAGUGACACUUAGCAUGCCCAUGCUUCCCAGUCUUGGAGGUAGAAACUUCAACAACCUGUUACAAUUUAAUGCAUUAAACACAAAAUUUCUAACAAGAUAACAUACUACACGGUUAUAUUAAUCAUUGAGUAAGAUCAGACUCUCAAGAUAUCACCAUACAGCAAUUACCAAUCAGUGAACAAUUGAUACAACCCACAAGAACAAAGAGAUUCAAUGAAAUAGAUCUAGGUCAUAUAACCUAUGGUCAACUCUAAUAGCCCUUACUGUAGCUUCUAAUGAAAAGCUAAAUGCUUUGACACGAAAAUAUCAAAAUAUCGGAAUCAUAGCCACUUUCAACCAAAAAACUCAAACUGAAAUUUCGCAAUAAUCAGACGCACAUCCAAACAUUCCUUGAAUCUAAUAUACACAAAAAGUGAAACCCUAACACUCGAAGUCAAAACCAAAUCAACUCAAACCAGAUGAAGAUAUUAACACGGAAUAGAGAAAAGGAUUCCGCUAAGCGAGAUCAGAACUUAAAAGAUCGAAGCUUAUGAGAAAUAAGUAAACCUUGCAAGCGCGAUUUUUGAUGACGAUGUGGCCGCCCUUGCGGAUAGUACCGGCUUGCUGAGGGUAGGUCUUGGAAGCACCGGCGUCGGCCUUUGAUUCAAACUGAUGCUCUUCGUCCGACAUAGUUUUCCGAUCGAUCGAUAGAUUGAUUGAUUGUUGCGGUUUUUCAAUCGAACUGAAGAGCAAGACGC